UCAGAGGUAGCUCAGCGGUAGAGCGACUGUAUUGCAACACUGUAGGUCCCAGGUUCAAAUCCUGGCCUCUGAC